rnacentral:rRNA from 1 species
AACGAACGCUGGCGGCAUGCCUAACACAUGCAAGUCGAACGAGACCUUCGGGUCUAGUGGCGCACGGGUGCGUAACGCGUGGGAACCUGCCCUUAGGUUCGGAAUAACUCCCCGAAAGGGGUGCUAAUACCGGAUAAUGUCUUCGGACCAAAGAUUUAUCGCCUUUGGAUGGGCCCGCGUUGGAUUAGCUAGUUGGUAGGGUAAAAGCCUACCAAGGCGACGAUCCAUAGCUGGUCAGAGAGGAUGAGCAGCCACACUGGGACUGAGACACGGCCCAGACUCCUACGGGAGGCAGCAGUGGGGAAUAUUGGACAAUGGGCGAAAGCCUGAUCCAGCAAUGCCGCGUGAGUGAUGAAGGCCUUAGGGUUGUAAAGCUCUUUUACCCGGGAUGAUAAUGACAGUACCGGGAGAAUAAGCUCCGGCUAACUCCGUG